UGACACUCAGUUUAUACUUGCGAGGUAUUGCGCUGGUGGGAAGUGGACUGCAGUGGGGUUGGCAUCAACUUGUGUGCCUUCUAGAUUACCGGGACCAAAGAUAGUGCCAACUUAUGAAGCUUCAUCUUACCUAAUUGCAGUUAACUAGUAAUUUAUCAGGAUUGUGGUGAAUCUGAUGAUAUGGGGGUCGAGAUAUUAAUUCCCUGCAAAAUGUGUAAACCUCCUGCCAAACACCGGAUUGCCCACAUCGAUUUUUCUUAUGCUCAAAAGCUUUCAACAAAGCAAGCCUGCAAAGGAUUUAAUGAACUAGCUGUUGUUAUUUUAAUGAUGCUUUAUUUCAUCAGAAAGGGUGGAGAACAAAAGCUUCAAUAUUUGUAAGUUCCAUGUAU